AGCAGCCGCGGUAAUUCCAGCUCCAAUAGCGUAUAUUAAAGUUGCUGCAGUUAAAAGCUCGUAGUUGAAUUUCGGGAUCAAUAUGUUGGUCGUGCCUCGGUACGUACUAGCUUAUUGGUUUCUUCCUUCUGACGAACCAUAAUGUCAUUUAUUUGGUGUUAUGGGGAAUCAGGACUGUUACUUUGAAAAAUUAGAGUGUUUAAAGCAGGCUCACGCUUGAAUACAUUAGCAUGGAAUAAUGAAAUAGGACGUUUGAUUCUAUUUUGUUGGUUUCUAGGAUCGACGUAAUGAUUAAUAGGGAUAGUUGGGGCAUUAGUAUUCAAUUGUCAGGGUGAAAUUUCUUGGAUUUUUAUUGAAGACUAACUACUGCGAAAGCAUUUUGCCAAGGAUGUUUUCAUUAAUCAAGAACGAAAGUUUAGGGGAUCGAAGACGAUCAGAUACCGUCGUAGUCUUAAACCAU
rnacentral:rRNA from 1 species